GGUCGGAUAGCUGAGACGGAUUAGCGCUCGCCUGAAGAGCAAGAGAGGUUGGUUCGAUUCCAACUCCGACCG
rnacentral:tRNA from 1 species